rnacentral:rRNA from 1 species
UCCUGACUGACCGAUAGUGAACCAGUACCGUGAGGGAAAGGCGAAAAGAACCCCGGCGAGGGGAGUGAAAAAGAACCUGAAACCGUGUACGUACAAGCAGUGGGAGCACGCUUAGGCGUGUGACUGCGUACCUUUUGUAUAAUGGGUCAGCGACUUAUAUUCUGUAGCAAGGUUAACCGAAUAGGGGAGCCGAAGGGAAACCGAGUCUUAACUGGGCGUUAAGUUGCAGGGUAUAGACCCGAAACCCGGUGAUCUAGCCAUGGGCAGGUUGAAGGUUGGGUAACACUAACUGGAGGACCGAACCGACUAAUGUUGAAAAAUUAGCGGAUGACUUGUGGCUGGGGGUGAAAGGCCAAUCAAACCGGGAGAUAGCUGGUUCUCCCCGAAAGCUAUUUAGGUAGCGCCUCGUGAAUUCAUCUCCGGGGGUAGAGCACUGUUUCGGCAAGGGGGUCAUCCCGACUUACCAACCCGAUGC